rnacentral:lncRNA from 1 species
UGUUCCAUCAAUUGAUUCGCGGAAUUACUGGGAGAGAAAUUGAUUGUUCCUUUCCCGAAAUUACCUGGGCUCUUGUAAAACAUGACUUCCUUUUAAGGAUGUAGGCUCUGUUCAAAUAAAAAAAAAUGGCACCGUAAAAUAUAGUCAUGUAGUAAUGAGCAGUAUGCUUUAUGAGAACCAGGUUAAAAGCUGUUUGUUGUCUAAUGGAGUGGAAGCUGCUGGGGUCAUCAAAUAGACCAAGGACUGGCAUACUAUAUACCUACUCAUUAUUGUCUAAUUAUGUUCUUUUGACAAGAGGCAGCAUUUACCAGAGCAUUAAUUCCAUCUGAGUUUUGGCUAUCAAGAUGUGUUGAUUUGAAACAUAAUUGAAUGAGACCUGAUUAAAGUCUGACUCUCCUGGCCCCAGUGUUUUUGCAGGUUAGCUGUGUGCAUUUAUCAGUCCCAUCAUUUCAUAAGGUUCUUCGCUGCACCAAGUGAUUGGUGAAUGACGACGACGGCGACGACGACAGCGAAAGCAGCAUACAUUGUAUGGAUUUAUCUCAACGCUAUUGUUUAAUGGCUGUGUUUCAUGUGGCCUGUCUGGAAAAUGAGGACUCCGAAUAAAAGCUAUUACUAAUA